rnacentral:rRNA from 1 species
GUAGGUGUUGAUUACAGCGAGGGUCCACCCGUUCCCAUCUCGAACACGGAAGUUAAGCUCGGUUGUGCCGACAAUACUUGGCUGGCGACGGCCUGGGAAGAUAGGUAACGCCUACA